GAAAAGCAAUGUCUAAGGAUAGGUCGGCGCCUGAUUAGGCAGUUGGUGAGGCAAAGGCUCACCAAACCUUUGAUCAGUAGGGGUCUUGAGAGAGAUAGCCCCGAGAAGGACACUGAGACACUGGUCCUAGCCCUAAGGGGUGCAGCAGGUGCGAAAACUUUACAAUGCACGAAAGUGCGAUAAGGGAAUCUCAAGUGCUUUACAUUUUUGUAAAGCUUUUGCUAAGUGUAAAUAGCUUAGCGAAUAAGUGGUGGGUAAGACUGGCGCCAGCCGCCGCGGUAACACCAGCGCCACAAGUGGUGAUCACGUUUAUUGGGUCUAAAGGGUCCGUAGCUGGUUAGGAAAGUUCUUUGUGAAAUUGUUAAGCUUAACUUAACAACUUGCAAGGAAAACUAUCUGACUUGGAACCGGGAGAAGGCAGAAGUACUUUAGGGGGAGUGGUAAAAUAUUAUAAUCCUUAAAGGACUACCUGUGGCAAAGGCAUCUGCCUAGAACGGGUUCGACAGUGAGGGACGAAAGCUAGGGGAGCGAUCCGGAUUAGAUACCCGAGUAGUCCUAGCCGUAAACGCUGUGAGUUAUGUGUUGCAUGUUCUUCGUGAACAUGCAGUGCCGAAGCGAAGGCAUUAAACUCACCACCUGGGAAGUACGGUCGCAAGAUUGAAACUUAAAGAAAUUGGCGGGGGCUUACUACAAGGGGUGCGGCGUGCGGUUUAAUCGAACUAUACACCGAGAAUCUCACCAGGAGCGACGGCAGGAUGAAGGUCAGAUUGAAGGUUUUACCUAACGAGCCGAGAGGUGCUGCAUGGCCGCCGUCAGUUCGUGCCGUGAGGUGUCCUGUUAAGUCAGGCAACGAACAAGAUCUAUAUCUACAGUCGCUAGCGUCUCUUUUGAGGAACGAGCACACUGUAGAGACUGCCUUGGAAACAAGGAGGAAGGUGUAGGCUACGGUAGGUCUGUAUGGCCCGAAUCUCCUGGGCUACACGCGCGCAACAAUGGUAAGGACAAUGGAUACAACUCCGAAAGGAGAAGUCAAACCUCAAAACCUUACCUUAGUUUAGAUUGGUGACUGUAACUCGUCUCCAUGACAAUGGAAUCCCUAGUAAUCAGAAUUCAACACGUUCUGGUGAAUACGUCCCUUGGCCUUGCACACACCGCCCGUCAAACCAACCGAGCAGGGCUUGGGUGAGAGGUAGUCUUUUUGAUUAUUUCGAAUCUAAGUUCAGUAAGGUGGGUUAAGUCGUCACAAGGUA
rnacentral:rRNA from 1 species